GACGAACGCUGGCGGCGUGCUUAACACAUGCAAGUCGAACGGAAAGGCCCUGCUUUGUGGGGUGCUCGAGUGGCGAACGGGUGAGUAACACGUGAGUAACCUGCCCCUGACUUUGGGAUAACUUCAGGAAACUGGGGCUAAUACCGGAUAGGAGCUUCUUCUGCCUGGUGGGGGUUGGAAAGUUUCGGCGGUUGGGGAUGGACUUGCGGCUUAUCAGCUUGUUGGUGGGGUAGGGGCAUACCAAGGCUUUGACGGGUAGCCGGCCUGAGAGGGUGACCGGCCACAUUGGGACUGAGAUACGGCGCAGACUCCUACGGGAGGCAGCAGUGGGGAAUAUUGCACAAUGGGCGGAAGCCUGAUGCAGCAACGCCGCGUGCGGGAUGACGGCCUUCGGGUGGUAAACCGCUGUCGCCUGUGACGAAGCGUGAGUGACGGUAAUGGGUAAAGAAGCACCGGCUAACUACGUG
rnacentral:rRNA from 1 species